rnacentral:rRNA from 1 species
GACGAACGAGGGAGGAGGGAAGAAUAAAGGCAAGUAGAACGCUGACGGAGGAGCUUGCUUCUCUGGAUGAGUUGCGAACGGGUGAGUAACGCGUAGGUAACCUGCCUGGUAGCGGGGGAGAACUAUUGGAAACGAUAGCUAAUACCGCAUCAUAGCAGUUGUUGCAUGACAACUGUUUGAAAGGUGCAAUUGCACCACUACCAGAUGGACCUGCGUUGUAUUAGCUAGUUGGUGGGGUAACGGCCCACCAUGGCGACGAUACAUAGCCGAGCUGAGAGGGGGGUGUGCCACACUGGGACUGAGACACGGCCCCGACUCCUACGGGAGGGCGCAGUAGGGAAUUUUCGGCCAUGGGCGGAAGUCUGGCCGAGCAACGCCGCGGUAGUUAAGGAGGUUCUCCGAGCGUAAAGUGCUGGUUGAAGGGAAGGACGAGCAUGAGAGUGGAAAGUUCACACUGUGACGGUAUCUUACCAGAAAGGGACGGCUACCUACGUG